ACGGGAGGCAGCAGUGGGGAAUAUUGGGCAAUGGGCGAAAGCCUGACCCAGCAACGCCGCGUGAAGGAAGAAGGUCUUCGGAUUGUAAACUUCUUUUAUGAGGGACGAAGGACGUGACGGUACCUCAUGAAUAAACCACGGCUAACUACGUGACAGCAGCCGCGGUAAUACGUAGGUGGCAAGCGUUAUCCGGAUUUACUGGGUGUAAAGGGCGCGUAGGCGGGAAGGCAAGUCAGAUGUGAAAUCCAUGGGCUCAACCCAUGAACUGCAGUUGAAACUGUUUUUCUUGAGUGCGGGAGAGGUAGACGGAAUUCCUUGUGUAGCGGUGAAAUGCGUAGAUAUAAGGAAGAACACCAGUGGCGAAGGCGGUCUACUGGACAGUAACUGACGCUGAGGCGCGAAAGCGUGGGGAGCAAACAGGAUUAGAUACCCUGGUA
rnacentral:rRNA from 1 species